UGCCAGCAGCCGCGGUAAUACGGAGGGGGUUAGCGUUGUUCGGAAUUACUGGGCGUAAAGCGUACGUAGGCGGACUGAUCAGUCAGAGGUGAGAUCCCAGGGCUCAACCCUGGAACUGCCUUUGAUACUGUCAGUCUUGAGUUCGAGAGAGGUGAGUGGAAUUCCAAGUGUAGAGGUGAAAUUCGUAGAUAUUUGGAGGAACACCAAUUGCGAAGGCAGUUCACUGGACCGUGAUCGACGCUGAGGAGCGAAAGCUAGGGGAGCAAACAGGAUUAGAUA
rnacentral:rRNA from 1 species